rnacentral:hammerhead_ribozyme from 1 species
AUUCAGCUGACGAGUCCCAAAUAAGACGAAACACGCGUCCAACUGGAU